rnacentral:rRNA from 1 species
AGAUUGAACGCUAGCGGCAUGCCUAACACACGCAAGUCGAACGGUAACAGGCCCCUUCGGGGUGCUGACGAGUGGCGGACGGGUGAGUAAUGCGUAGGAAUCUACCCCACGAGUGGGGGAUAGCCCCGGAGAAAUCCGGAUUAAUACCGCAUAUGCCCUACGGGGUAAAGCGGGGGAUUCGUAAGACCGUCGCGGCUGGUGGAUGAGCCUACGUCCCGAUUAGUUAGUUGGUGGGGUAAAGGCCUACCAAGGCUACGAUCGGUAGCUGGUCUGAGAGGACGACCAGCCACAACUGGGACUGACGACACGGCCCAGACUCCUACGGGAGGCAGC